UCAAAAGAUUCAGGACAAACAUCCACUAUUUUGGUUGUAUGAAUACGAGAAAUUUCGAGGGCAUAAAUUUGAUCUAAAACAUGUGCUGUUGCACUAUUUUGUGUGUUAGAACCUGGAUACUGAAUUUGCCAAACUAUAUCAAUUCCAUUGAUGAUGCUUUUGUGGUUCAGGGUCAAGGCCUUGGCAGGGCCCUUGUUGAAAAGCUUAUAAGAGCACUCUUGCAAAGGGAUAUUGGCAAUAUAACACUCUUCGCAGAUAGUCAAGUGGUAGAGUUUUAUCGGAAUCUUGGUUUCGAACCGGACCCUGAAGGGAUUAAAGGCAUGUUCUGGUACCCGAAAAGGUAGUGCUCGCUUGGACAAGGUCACACUUAUUUCUCCCUAUGUUCUGUUUCUUAACACGGGAUCUUGGAACGAAAAUAGAACAACACUGCUGCUUCUGUUUUAUUUAUAUGAUUAUUGUUAAACUCUGUAAAUACACUUCAUAUAUAGGAAUGAUAUCUAGCUUCUUGUGGUGCAACUUUGAUUUAUGUUCUAUAUCACGCCGUCCUCCGAAUGAUCCUAUUUUUUCCUUUUUUUAGUCUAGGACCAACUUCUACCUUGCUACAUUUGGUUGUUGAGGUUACUCGUGAGAUAUUAAAUACUAGAAAAGUAACCACCAUAGAUUCAAUUCA